CCUACGGGUGGCUGCAGUGGGGAAUAUUGGACAAUGGGCGAAAGCCUGAUCCAGCCAUGCCGCGUGUGUGAAGAAGGCCUUCGGGUUGUAAAGCACUUUCAGUGGGGAAGAAAGCCUUGGGGCUAAUACCCUCGAGGAAGGACAUCACCCACAGAAGAAGCACCGGCUAACUCCGUGCCAGCAGCCGCGGUAAUACGGAGGGUGCGAGCGUUAAUCGGAAUUACUGGGCGUAAAGCGCGCGUAGGCGGUCUGAUAAGCCGGUUGUGAAAGCCCCGGGCUCAACCUGGGAACGGCAUCCGGAACUGUCAGGCUAGAGUGCAGGAGAGGAAGGUAGAAUUCCCGGUGUAGCGGAGAAAUGCGUAGAGAUCGGGAGGAAUACCAGUGGCGAAGGCGGCCUUCUGGACUGACACUGACGCUGAGGUGCGAAAGCGUGGGUAGCAAACAGGAUUAGAUACCCCGGUAGUC
rnacentral:rRNA from 1 species